rnacentral:rRNA from 1 species
CUCAGGAUAGCAGCAAAAAAAAAAAAAAAAUAAUUCUAUUUGGUAAAGCUAACGAUUAGGAGAAUCUGGGAUUAUAUUCCUAGACUCAUUCUCGAACUUUAAAUAAGUAGGAAAAAAGAAAUGUUUUGAUUUUAAUUUCUUUUGAUUAAUAUUUUUUUUGUUAGUGGGCAGGUUGUGGUAAGCAUGACAUGCGAUGCGGGGAUGCUCCGAAAAGUUUUUGUUAAAGUGUUAAAUUUUUUUUUUUUUUAAAAAUUGGGUCAACUAGAUACCAAAAAGAAUGUAAAUAAAUGAAGACAGCCCCGAAAAGUGGCCAUGGAAGUCGGUAUCUUCUAAGGAGUGUGUAACAACUCACGGGGCCCGAAUUUAUUUGUUUCGAAAAAUGGGAUAACGGCUAAAACCCCAAAAACUUAUCAAAACAAAGAAAAUAAUAUUUCUUUUAAUAUUUUC